CUCCCUCUCCCUCUCCCUCUCUCCCUCUUCCUCUCCCUCUCCCUCUCCCUCUCCCUCUCCUUCUCUGUGUAUGCUCACACGUGCACAUGUCUCUGUUCACAUUACAUUUCAGUUAUCUCACUGAAUUUCCUUCUCAAAUUAGACAGUCAUAUACUUUCUGCACAGCGUCUAGAGGUGAAGGCUCUUGGUCACACGGAAGUUGCCCCUAGGGAACUUCAUUCUGCGGGUUCUCACAAGACUCUCGAAUAUAACAUCCAUGGAAUGAAGAAGUGCCAAUAAAUGAUAACCUUGAAGAAAAUAUUGUCACUGCUAACAUCCAAGAAGGACAGGACAACUCUGGUGAUGCUGAGACUGCUGGAUAGAGCUGCACUUU
rnacentral:lncRNA from 1 species